rnacentral:rRNA from 1 species
CCUACUCGGAUAACUGUGGCAAUUCUAGAGCUAAUACGUGCGAAAAAGCUCGUUUCGCAAGAUUCGAGCGCAUUUAUUAGAAUAAAAACCAAUCGGGCCCAUAAAGCUCGUAAUUUGGUGAAUCUGAAUAACUUUGCCGAUCGCACGGUCCUAGUACCGGCGACGUAUCUUUCAAGUGUCUGCCUUAUCAACUUUCGAUGGUAGGUUAUACGCCUACCAUGGUAGUAACGGGUAACGGAGAAUAAGGGUUCGACUCCGGAGAGGGAGCCUGAGAAACGGCUACCACAUCCAAGGAAGGCAGCAGGCGCGCAAAUUACCCACUUCCAGAACGGAGAGGUAGUGACGAAAAAUAACGAGACAGUCCUCUUCGAGGUCUGUCAUCGGAAUGGGUACAAUUUAAAUCCUUUAACGAGGAUCUAUUGGAGGGCAAGUCUGGUGCCAGCAGCCGCGGUAAUUCCAGCUCCAAUAGCGUAUAUUAAAGUUGUUGCGGUUAAAACGCUCGUAGUUGGAUCUGCGGCCUCGGAGAACGGUCCCCCGAAAGGGCGGUCACUGUUACUCCAAGCCUAAAUAUCUAGUCUACUCUACGGUGCUCUUAACCGAGUGCCUAGAGUGACUGGAACGUUUACUUUGAAAAAAUUAGAGUGCUUAAAGCAGGCGAAAUAGCCUGAAUAAGGUGCAUGGAAUAAUGGAAUAGGACCUCGGUUCUAUUUUGUUGGUUUUCGGAGCCCGAGGUAAUGAUUAAGAGGAACAGACGGGGGCAUUCGUA